CUUUUUUUUUUUAUAAUUGAGAGUAGGUGUUGUAUAGGGUGAGGUGGAGUGAUUGUAUUUAUAUUUUGGAAGAAUGUAAAAGAUGUAAUUGAAUGUAUUAAGUCAAAUGAAUGUAAUAGAUAGCUCGUCUCUCUUAUGUACUUGUAUAUCUUUUAUACUCGUAUCUUGCUCUCGUCUUGUUGCACUGGUGGUGCUUUUGAUCGUGUAUUUAUGAAUUGAUUCCUGGGUAAAUUCUUAUACAUGAUCUGUUGGUUAGCCUUGGGCGGACGGGGUAGGUCCUGUCCGUUCGGCGUCUGUUCGACGCGCCCGGGCCGGACCAAAUCGGUAGCGGUCGCGGGGCGUGACAGUGCGGCAAGGAGAGGUGGCUUAAGUGGCUAGGGUUAGGGUUAGGAUAUAUAAUCCAAACCCUAGCCUCACACAAUAAUGCAUGCAAUUUCAUGCGAAAUUGCACGUAACUCCCUCCCUACGAUAAAAUUUCAUAGCAAGUCCCUAACAUGAGGUGACUCGCUUAAAAGUCCCUCCACAAUGAAUCCCAUUCAAAACCAUACAUAAGAUAUUAGGUUUAUCCUUCAGAAACCUAACUUGCGCAUCACUGAAACAUCAAAAUCUGCCAAUUUUUUCGUGUUCGGAUUGCCGAAUCCAAAAUCCGACUUCACCAUGACUCUCGGCACUACUGGACCAUCGAAAACGACUUAUUGGAUUGUUCGAAACAGUGCCCGAUUCGCAUCCAAAGCUAAUAUUAUACGUACGCUACCGAUCGAAACGCCGAUUACUAUUCACUUAAGUGAAAAAUUGAAAAUCGCACAACGGCUUCAAUUCAAUUCAUUUUUUUGAUAAAAUUCAGGCCAAAUCUGUAAAAUUAAAAAAGACUAGACCUAUUUUUGUAAAAAAACUCAAAACC
rnacentral:lncRNA from 1 species